AUAGGAGUUUAUAUUUACAAACUCUGUAAAUAUAAAAUUAUAUAAACACCGUUCUCUAGAAACUUUAGCUGUUAGAUAAAGGUAUUUAUAUAUUUUUAUAUUUAACAUGAUCGGCCCAUAACCCACAGGUCCCAGGAUCGCAACUUCCUUCUGAUACCAUAUGAAGCAACCGUUGUGUUGGAUCGUUGGCGCUAAUCAUUAAUUUCAAAAGCUCGAGCUGUUAAAAAUAUAUAUACAACCAAUUCACUCAAAGCGUACAGAUACAGCGCCCACGAAUCUCGAUUAUGAAUAGGCCCAAUCAGUCUCACGCCAUUUCGAACAUAACUCGGCUCACCUAGUCUCACCCCAUUUCGAACGCGACUCGGCCCAAUACAGCCUCCGGCCACAGAGCAAGAUGCUGGCCUAUUUAAGCCAAUACAUCGUACUCUAAAACUUAAAUUUUCAGAGAACGGUACGUGUUUAUAUGAUUUUAUAUUUAACAAACUCGUUAGGCAGAAAACUUUUGCUUAUUUCUCAUAAAAACUUUUAAUAAUUUAAUAAAAAUGUAAAAUUAUAAUUUAAAGCUAGUAGAUAAAUUAAAUGGAGUUAGCGCUAAGUAUAUAAAAAUAUGUUUCGCAUUUAACGAUGUGGGAUAAUAUAAAAUACCUUACUACCGACACACUACGAUAUGCAGAACGUAAUAUUACGUAUAAAAAUAAAAUAAAUAUUUUUUUAUCGUAAC
rnacentral:lncRNA from 1 species